rnacentral:rRNA from 1 species
UACGGGGGGGGCAAGCGUUGUUCGGAAUUACUGGGCGUAAAGCGUGCGCAGGCGGUUCGCUAAGACAGAUGUGAAAUCCCCGGGCUUAACCUGGGAACUGCAUUUGUGACUGGCGGGCUAGAGUAUGGCAGAGGGGGGUAGAAUUCCACGUGUAGCAGUGAAAUGCGUAGAGAUGUGGAGGAAUACCGAUGGCGAAGGCAGCCCCCUGGGCCAAUACUGACGCUCAUGCACGAAAGCGUGGGGAGCAAACAGG